UGCAUCGGCCGGGAAUCGAACCCGGGCGGCAGCCGCGUGGCAGGCGAGCAUUCUACCACUGAACCACCGAUGA
rnacentral:tRNA from 1 species